AUGGCUGAACGUACAAUGAUGCAAGGGUUCAUUCGGGAACACCUCCUUCGAGCACAACAUCGGAUGAAAGCGCAAGAGGAUAAACACAGGUCUGAUCGGCAGUUUGCAGCGGGAGAUUGGGUUUAUCUGAAACUGCAACCAUAUGUCCAGCAAUCAGUGGUGAGACACUCCAACCAAAAGCUCGAGUUCAAAUACUUUGGACCCUACCGGAUCGUGGAAAAGAUUGGAACGGUGGCCUACCGACUGGAUCUUCCAGCAUCAAGCAAAAUCCAUCCUGUAGUUCAUGUGUCACUACUGAAGCCGGCCAAGCCUCCAGAUCAAACUGCAGUACAGACAGAGACACUUGAUACACUGCUCCUAUCAACAUCUCUGACGCCGACGCUGGUAUUGCAAUCCCGCUUGGUGCAGGUCGGUGGACACACGCGACAACAACUGAAGAUUACAUGGAGAGGCCUUCAUGUGUCCAUGGCAACUUGGGAAUGGGUGUCGGAUGUGGCAAGAACGACACCAGCGUGUUGGUGA
rnacentral:rRNA from 1 species